rnacentral:rRNA from 1 species
GAGUAACGCGUAUCCAACCUGCCCACCACUUGGGGAUAACCUUGCGAAAGUAAGACUAAUACCCAAUGAUAUCUCUAGAAGACAUCUGAAAGAGAUUAAAGAUUUAUCGGUGAUGGAUGGGGAUGCGUCUGAUUAGCUUGUUGGCGGGGUAACGGCCCACCAAGGCAACGAUCAGUAGGGGUUCUGAGAGGAAGGUCCCCCACAUUGGAACUGAGACACGGUCCAAACUCCUACGGGAGGCAGCAGUGAGGAAUAUUGGUCAAUGGACGAGAGUCUGAACCAGCCAAGUAGCGUGCAGGAAGACGGCCCUAUGGGUUGUAAACUGCUUUUAUAAGGGAAUAAAGUUAGUCUCGUGAGACUUUUUGCAUGUACCUUAUGAAUAAGGACCGGCUAAUUCCGUGCCAGCAGCCGCGGUAAUACGGAAGGUCCGGGCGUUAUCCGGAUUUAUUGGGUUUAAAGGGAGCGUAGGCCGGAGAUUAAGCGUGUUGUGAAAUGUAGACGCUCAACGUCUGCACUGCAGCGCGAACUGGUUUCCUUGAGUACGCACAAAGUGGGCGGAAUUCGUGGUGUAGCGGUGAAAUGCUUAGAUAUCACGAAGAACUCCGAUUGCGAAGGCAGCUCACUGGAGCGCAACUGACGCUGAAGCUCGAAAGUGCGGGUAUCGAACAGGAUUAGAUACCCUGGUAGUCCGCACGGUAAACGAUGGAUGCCCGCUGUUGGUCUGAAUAGGUCAGCGGCCAAG